rnacentral:rRNA from 1 species
GUCUACGGCCAUGCUACCCUGAACAAACCCAAUCCCAUCUGAUCUCGGAAGCUAAGCAGAGUCAGGCCUGGUUAGUACUUGGAUGGGAGACUACCUAGGAAGACCACGUGCUGUAGGAG